UGGUUCUGGCAUCGAUGAAGAACGCAGCGAAAUGCGAUAAGUAAUGUGAAUUGCAGAAUUCAGUGAAUCAUCGAAUCUUUGAACGCACAUUGCGCCCGCUAGUAUUCUGGCGGGCAUGCCUGUCCGAGCGUCAUUUCAACCCUCAAGCCCCUCCAGGCUUGGCGUUGGGGAUCGGCCCCGCCCCGGCGGCCGGCCCCGAAAUGCAGUGGCGGUCACGCUGCAGCUUCCUCUGCGUAGUAGCAACACCUCGCACUGGGACGCGGCGCGGCCACGCCGUAAAUCAGACGAAAUUCUAAAGGUUGACCUCGGAUCAGGUAGGAAUACCCGCUGA
rnacentral:misc_RNA from 1 species